CCAAGUCAGAUCCAUUUUGUGUUCUUCGAAUAAAAGAACUGGGUGCCGCAGAGUGGAGAGAGGCGCCAUGUGGAAGAACGGAAGUGGUCCAGAACUGCUUAAAUCCAGACUUUGCCAAAAAAUUCACCAUUGAUUAUUACUUUGAACAAAAGCAGCAUUUAAGAUUUGAACUGUACGACCAAGACAGCAAAUCUGCAGACCUUUCAAAACAGGAUUUUCUCGGCUCUUGUGAAACUGCACUGAGUACACUGGUCACGUCAGGCGUGUGUGAGAAACCGAUACAUGGACCCAAGAAGAAUAGCGGGACUAUUAUCUGUAA